ACCUAGCUAGCUCAGUUGGUAGAGCAUGGCACUCUUGCUCUCAGGAUUAUGGAUUUGAGCCCCAUGCUGGGUA